CACUUGCUAUAAAGGGCUUUGCGCCGGGUCUCGAGCUCCUUUCUCUGCGGUCCGUCAUGCGAGGACGAGAGGAUGUGAUGGGGAGCAGUGGCUCUACAGUUCUUGCUGCUGCGAUGGUGCAUGUGGUGUCGCAGACGACGCUUCAGUCCAACUCGGUUUUCCUCUUGACCUGACUUUCUGCACUGAGGCAGCAGUAAACGGUUUCUGCUGCCACAACUGAUCAUGUCCUGAUCCAAGGUUUCAACUGCAGUAAUGAAGGUUGUGCCAAAAUGUUGCUGCCACGCCUCAUUCCCCUGUAAGUGUCAACAUGUUUCCCACGAGGUGCAAGUGACAAACCCUCUAUUGUUAGGAGGAAGCAGCAGACUGUCCAACUGAAGACGCUGAAAUAAAUCAAGUUCAAAAUCUGAAGGCUGUCCUGCCUGCAUGGAAAGGACUGCAGCUGAUCGCUCAGCGGAUCAGUGAUUCCUGAGAGGAGACGGUUCUCCAGGCUGACGCUGGCUUUGGAGGAAACGUGUUGUAACCUUUGCAAAUGAGGAUUUAAUAAAGGAUGUCGUGUUACAGCAAA